GUGCUCGCUUCGGCAGCACAUAUACUAAAAUUGGAACGACACAGAGAAGAUUAGCGUGGCCCCCGCACAAGGAUGACACACAAAUUCAUGAAGCGUUCCAUAUUAAA
ensembl:snRNA U6 U6 spliceosomal RNA